rnacentral:misc_RNA from 1 species
AUUAAAAAAAAAAAAAAAAUCCUCUCUCAUGGUUCCUGUGACCAUCUGAAUUAUAUGAGAGAGAGCUCCUGAAAUAUGAAGACCAGAUGCUCAAGUACUUGCAGUUCUGUUCUACAAAAGAACACCACACUUUUGUGAUUGUUGACUUGGUAACAUAUCUGCAAGAUGGGAUAGGAAGGGACGACGUGCAAGCAAGAACUUCUUGUUUAGAUAAGGGAUUGAAGCUUUAUGAGAAUGAUAUGAUGUUUCAAGAACAGGAAAAAGAGAAUGAAAAAUGCAUUCCUAUCUAAAUUUUAUUGGAAAAAACCUAAACAGGAGUCGAUUGCAGUCCUAGCAAUCCCUUCAUUCUGUCACCAUAUUCCUAAAUGUCCAUGCUUUCCAUGGAGCUUGGCAAUGUCAAACUUAAUAAAAGUGAUGCACAGAGUAAGAAAAUGGGAAUUUACCGUUUCUUAGAUACAAGAUCACUAAGCAAGUGCUACCAUUCCCCGCACCUCAACCCCUAAUCACCAAGAAAGAGAGAACGCUUACAAUCUGCACCAUUUUUUAUUCAAACUUACACAAUGGUGCGCUGAAAUCUUUCAUUCUGUGGAAGCAACGCCACUCAUUUGCAUCUUCAGGCUUCUGGGAGCUAUGUCAUUCAACUUGCCUAGUGCUGGUAGGAUGGAAUAGGCACUCCUGACUCUUCUGUCAGCUUUUUGUAAGCAUUUUGCAACCUUUGAGUCACGGGACCCACUUUACCAUCACCGAUUUCACGUCCAUCAAUCUUCACAACCGGGGUAAGCUCUCCCAUGGUUCCUGUUGUCCAUACCUCAUCUGCAGUAUGGAAUUCUGAUAGACUAAUUCUCCGUUCCUCUAGGACCAAAUCCUCCUUUACCACUAGAUCCAUAACAGCAGCUCGAGUGAUUCCAGGAAGGCAAUAAUCAGCUUGAGGUGUAAGAACCCGGCCUUUCUUCACUAGAAAAAUAUUUGUAGCAUUUGUUUCAGACACAUAACCAUCCUUGUCUAGCAUAAUUGCAUCACCUGCGUCUGCAUUAUUCCCUUCUAUCUUAGCUAGAAUGUUAUUGAGGAGGUUAUUGUGAUGAAUCUUUGAAUCCAAAUUAUUUGGUGAAUUACGCCGUGUUGUAGCAGUCACCAGAUUUAUUCCAUGUGUAUUGUCAUAGACAGGUGGUUUCCAUUCAGGAAGCACAAUUAAAGUGCAUCCAUAAAGAUUAAAUGCUGGGCUCAUGCCUGAAGUGACCUUCUUUCCACGAGUAAGGGAUAGUCGGAUGUGUGCAUUAUCAAACAUUCCAUUCCUAAUUAGAGUUCUGAAGAUGGCUUCCUUAACCUCUUCACGAGUUGGAACAUUCUUGAAAGCUAGAGCCUUUGCCGAGUCAAACAACCUAUCCAAAUGCUCUUCAAGCUUAAAUAUCUUCCCAUUGUAAACUCGAAGGCCCUCCCAGACUGAAUCACCACCUUGGACAACCGAGUCAAACACAGAAACCUGAUACAAGUCACAAGAAACGGAGUGAAAGUGACACUUCUUGAACAGGGGAUCCAUAUUUUUCCUACAAUCACAUACCUUGGCACUUUCACGGGGUAGAAUCUCAUCUCCAACCCAGGCCAACAGCUUUUCAUUUGCAGGAACUGGAAUAUCUGGAGGGGGUAAAGGGCUCUUCAAAAGGGCGGUUGUCUUUCUUACAUGCCGCCGAAGCAUAUUGUACAAAGGUAGACUUUUCUCCAACAAGUCAUAUAGAGAAAAUGGAAAUGGCUGAGGAUACUUUCUUGUUUGAUUGAAGCCUGUUGAUUGAUGUACACUUUUGUACCACCAUGGGGCCCAAACACCAUCUAUUGGUUUUGGACCAGCUUCCCAUCUGAGCAUUGCAUCAUCAAAAGGAAUCUCCAAGUCUUCACAAAGACCACACAAGGUACCCUCAGGAUCUUGUUGAAGGUCUGCUGCAUCAAUAACAACUGGGGGCUUUCCCAACUGAGAGAGGUCACUGUAUAUGGAGACCAAUUCUGCCAAACCUAAUUCAAGAAAGGAUGGAGGCACAACCUUCUCAAAAGAUGGCAAUAUAUCAAGUGGAUUGCGUAUCAAUAUAACGUGCUUUCCUUUCUUCAUCAAAUCAUUGGGCAGACCAGGUAAAUGUUGCUUUGCCAUAUGCUUACAAAACCGAUACUUCUUUUCUCCUGGUCCAAAGAUAACCUCUUUUACAACCUUAUUUGCAUCAGAUUCCAUUUUGGACAGAACCUCUUCCCUGUAGGGCCUCUCCACACCUGUUACCUUUAGAAAAGUUGCAUAUAGAGGUUCAUCAAGCACUUCCGUAUCAUCCCUCUGAGCAAAAGAGUACAUGAGAGAGGUACUGAGGGAUCUUGGAGCAGACCAUGAGUGGAUGACCUCUACCUCUCCUUGCUUUUGUCCUCCCAUUUUCUGAAAGAUUCUUGUUUAGCGUUCUGGGCGUGUGAGAGAGUGCUGUGCUGUGGAUUAAUAAUGAAUGCCUAAGUGGUUGAGUGAGAGAGUUGCACAUAGCAUACAAAACAGCUCUAC